rnacentral:rRNA from 1 species
GACGAACGCUGGCGGCGUGCUUAACACAUGCAAGUCGAACGGACAGGCCCUGCUUUUGUGGGGUGCUCGAGUGGCGAACGGGUGAGUAACACGUGAGUAACCUGCCCUUGACUUUGUGAUAACUUCAGGAAACUGGGGCUAAUACCGCAUAUGAUCUCCUGCUGCAUGGUGUUGGUUGGUAAGUUUCGGCGGUUGGGUAUGUACUCGCGGGUUAUCAGCUUGUUGGUGGGGUAGUUGCUUACCAAGGCUGUGACGGGUAGCCGGCCUGAGAGGGGUAACGGCGACAUUGGGACUGAGAUACGGCGCAGAAGCCUACGGGAGGCAGCAGGGGAGAAUAUUGCAGAAUGGGGGGAAGCCAGAGGCAGAAAUGCUGGGUGCGGGAUGACGGGCUUUGAGGGGUAAACAGAUGUGGAAUGUGAUGAAGAGGGAGUGACGGUAAUGGGUAAGAAAGCAACGGCUAACUACGUG